CAUAGGUUAAUGAGGCGAACCGGGGGAACUGAAACAUCUAAGUACCCCGAGGAAAAGAAAUCAACCGAGAUUCCCCCAGUAGCGGCGAGCGAACGGGGAGGAGCCCAGAGCCUGAAUCAGUGUGUGUGUUAGUGGAAGCGUCUGGAAAGGCGCGCGAUACAGGGUGACAGCCCCGUACACAAAAAUGCACAUAUUGUGAGCUCGAUGAGUAGGGCGGGACACGUGGUAUCCUGUCUGAAUAUGGGGGGACCAUCCUCCAAGGCUAAAUACUCCUGACUGACCGAUAGUGAACCAGUACCGUGAGGGAAAGGCGAAAAGAACCCCGGCGAGGGGAGUGAAAAAGAACCUGAAACCGUGUACGUACAAGCAGUGGGAGCCUCUUUAUGGGGUGACUGCGUACCUUUUGUAUAAUGGGUCAGCGACUUAUAUUCUGUAGCAAGGUUAACCGAAUAGGGGAGCCGAAGGGAAACCGAGUCUUAACUGGGCGUUAAGUUGCAGGGUAUAGACCCGAAACCCGGUGAUCUAGCCAUGGGCAGGUUGAAGGUUGGGUAACACUAACUGGAGGACCGAACCGACUAAUGUUGAAAAAUUAGCGGAUGACUUGUGGCUGGGGGUGAAAGGCCAAUCAAACCGGGAGAUAGCUGGUUCUCCCCGAAAGCUAUUUAGGUAGCGCCUCGUGAAUUCAUCUCCGGGGGUAGAGCACUGUUUCGGCAAGGGGGUCAUCCCGACUUACCAACCCGAUGCAAACUGCGAAUACCGGAGAAUGUUAUCACGGGAGACACACGGCGGGUGCUAACGUCCGUCGUGAAGAGGGAAACAACCCAGACCGCCAGCUAAGGUCCCAAAGUCAUGGUUAAGUGGGAAACGAUGUGGGAAGGCCCAGACAGCCAGGAUGUUGGCUUAGAAGCAGCCAUCAUUUAAAGAAAGCGUAAUAGCUCACUGGUCGAGUCGGCCUGCGCGGAAGAUGUAACGGGGCUAAACCAUGCACCGAAGCUGCGGCAGCGACACUAUGUGUUGUUGGGUAGGGGAGCGUUCUGUAAGCCUGUGAAGGUGGCCUGUGAGGGUUGCUGGAGGUAUCAGAAGUGCGAAUGCUGACAUAAGUAACGAUAAAGCGGGUGAAAAGCCCGCUCGCCGGAAGACCAAGGGUUCCUGUCCAACGUUAAUCGGGGCAGGGUGAGUCGACCCCUAAGGCGAGGCCGAAAGGCGUAGUCGAUGGGAAACAGGUUAAUAUUCCUGUACUUGGUGUUACUGCGAAGGGGGGACGGAGAAGGCUAUGUUGGCCGGGCGACGGUUGUCCCGGUUUAAGCGUGUAGGCUGGUUUUCCAGGCAAAUCCGGAAAACCAAGGCUGAGGCGUGAUGACGAGGCACUACGGUGCUGAAGCGACAAAUGCCCUGCUUCCAGGAAAAGCCUCUAAGCAUCAGGUAACAUCAAAUCGUACCCCAAACCGACACAGGUGGUCAGGUAGAGAAUACCAAGGCGCUUGAGAGAACUCGGGUGAAGGAACUAGGCAAAAUGGUGCCGUAACUUCGGGAGAAGGCACGCUGAUAUGUAGGUGAAGCGACUUGCUCGUGGAGCUGAAAUCAGUCGAAGAUACCAGCUGGCUGCAACUGUUUAUUAAAAACACAGCACUGUGCAAACACGAAAGUGGACGUAUACGGUGUGACGCCUGCCCGGUGCCGGAAGGUUAAUUGAUGGGGUUAGCGGUAACGCGAAGCUCUUGAUCGAAGCCCCGGUAAACGGCGGCCGUAACUAUAACGGUCCUAAGGUAGCGAAAUUCCUUGUCGGGUAAGUUCCGACCUGCACGAAUGGCGUAAUGAUGGCCAGGCUGUCUCCACCCGAGACUCAGUGAAAUUGAACUCGCUGUGAAGAUGCAGUGUACCCGCGGCAAGACGGAAAGACCCCGUGAACCUUUACUAUAGCUUGACACUGAACAUUGAGCCUUGAUGUGUAGGAUAGGUGGGAGGCUUUGAAGUGUGGACGCCAGUCUGCAUGGAGCCGACCUUGAAAUACCACCCUUUAAUGUUUGAUGUUCUAACGUUGGCCCGUAAUCCGGGUUGCGGACAGUGUCUGGUGGGUAGUUUGACUGGGGCGGUCUCCUCCUAAAGAGUAACGGAGGAGCACGAAGGUUGGCUAAUCCUGGUCGGACAUCAGGAGGUUAGUGCAAUGGCAUAAGCCAGCUUGACUGCGAGCGUGACGGCGCGAGCAGGUGCGAAAGCAGGUCAUAGUGAUCCGGUGGUUCUGAAUGGAAGGGCCAUCGCUCAACGGAUAAAAGGUACUCCGGGGAUAACAGGCUGAUACCGCCCAAGAGUUCAUAUCGACGGCGGUGUUUGGCACCUCGAUGUCGGCUCAUCACAUCCUGGGGCUGAAGUAGGUCCCAAGGGUAUGGCUGUUCGCCAUUUAAAGUGGUACGCGAGCUGGGUUUAGAACGUCGUGAGACAGUUCGGUCCCUAUCUGCCGUGGGCGCUGGAGAACUGAGGGGGGCUGCUCCUAGUACGAGAGGACCGGAGUGGACGCAUCACUGGUGUUCGGGUUGUCAUGCCAAUGGCACUGCCCGGUAGCUAAAUGCGGAAGAGAUAAGUGCUGAAAGCAUCUAAGCACGAAACUUGCCCCGAGAUGAGUUCUCCCUGACUCCUUGAGAGUCCUGAAGGAACGUUGAAGACGACGACGUUGAUAGGCCGGGUGUGUAAGCGCAGCGAUGCGUUGAGCUAACCGGUACUAAUGAACCG
rnacentral:rRNA from 1 species